rnacentral:lncRNA from 1 species
GCUCCCUUUGUUUUAUUCUAACCAAUCAGAGACCCCCCAGGGCCCAGUGGGCGGGGCCAGCACCCAUCUGUGGGCGGGGCCUCCGGCUAGACGUGUCCAUCAGUGCGUGUGGGCGGGGCUUGGCGGAGUGUGGGCGGAGUCAUCCAGCAGGGGGGCGGGGCCAUCCUGGAUCCCACAGCGCAGAUUGGCCGGCACUGCUAUGUCCAUCAGUUUGGGCCUGGGCAGCUGCAGCCCCUCCAUCAGCCUCACAAACUCCUCCUCGCUCAGCGUCAGCCUCGGGUUCAGCCGCCGCUCCUCCCCCACCGUUGUCACCGUCUGACC